GGCGAUGAGGAGAGAACGCUGCACGAGGUGCACCAUCACCCAAACAGCACUGAGCUCUUAUUUGUUUUUAAUCUGUUACAAGCGCGUGAACGACUCCUUCCAUUAUUUAUGCUCUGGGAAUAAAGGCUGCUGUUCUCACAGGCUCUGCUUUCAGCUUCAGCUCUGCUCUCUGGGUCAGGGAAAGCGGCCGCGCCGCCGUCACCCCGGGGAAAGGUGACUGCAUGGAGCCGGGCACGGCGCUGUGAUUCCACCCGCACUGCAUCCAUCCGUGCAGAGCGUUCACCGCCGGCAGGGCUGGAUGGAUUGGCAGGAAAACGGCAGGCAGACGGUGUGGACCUUCCCUACAUAGCAGGGCUUCGCCACGCUGCCAGGAGCCCCGGAUCCAUCGCCUCCAGCGGCGUCACAGAUGCGGCACUGCUAACUGCUCAUCUGAGUGUUACAUUGGUAAAAGAAGAGUGGAUGGUUUGAAAGCAAUCCUGCGUCUCAUCCGAAGAGCAGAGGAGAGCAGCAGAACCACCACAGUAACAUCUCCACAGAGCAGCUCUGCAUGGGUCCCACUGCUGUCACCUGGGGUGGAUGCAGAGGAUCCUGAAGUGGAGGUGGCUCAAAGUGGGGCUCCAAGUUGCUCCAUUGUUACCACAGCCUCACAGCACUGCUACAGAAAAGCCGCCAGGCUUAAAGAGGUGAUGAUUACAAUUGCAAAACCAAAUAGCUGUUGCUCAGAACGACCAGAAUUUCAGCCCAAGCAGGCAGAGCGUGUGCUGCAGGCAGCAGGCUCAGCUGUGGGCAGUUGGGAGCGCUCUGCCUGCGGGAUCACUGCUCACCCCAUCCCUGUGGCUUUGGGUUCACGCUCAGCUCUGUGCCCGCUGUGUGCCGUGUGGGGCUGUGCGGUGUCAGGGAGGUGGGGCAAUUCCUGCUGCUGUGUUGAGAGCUGCCAGUGCUGCAGAUGUUGCUGCAGUACAAAUAAUUGUAUCAACAAAACGAUUUCUAAGUGCUCACAGCACUGUGUGACCU
ensembl:lncRNA